rnacentral:rRNA from 1 species
GACGAACGCUGGCGGCGUGCCUAAUACAUGCAAGUCGAACGAAGUGGCGCACGGGUGAGUAACGCGUAAUCACCCUGCCCUUCAGAGGGGGACAACAGUUGGAAACGACUGCUAAUACCGCCUACUGCAGGACGGGGUUUAGGUUGAUUAGCUAGUUGGAGGGGUAACGGCCCACCAAGGCGAUGAUCCGUAGCCGGUCUGGGAGGGUGAACGGCCAAAUUGGGACUGAGGAACGGCCCAGACUCCUUAGGGAGGCAGCAGGGGGGAAUCAUCCGAAAUGGAGGAAAGUCUGACGGAGCAACAGCGCGUGAGUGAUGACGGCCUUCGGGUUGUAAAGCUCUGUUAAUCGGGGCGCGGUACCGGAAUAGAAAGCCACGGCUAACUACGUGCCAGCAGCCGCGGUAAUAC